AUUGAACGCUGGCGGCAUGCCUUACACAUGCAAGUCGAACGGCAGCACGGGAGCAAUCCUGGUGGCGAGUGGCGAACGGGUGAGUAAUAUAUCGGAACGUGCCCAGUCGUGGGGGAUAACGUAGCGAAAGCUACGCUAAUACCGCAUACGAUCUAUGGAUGAAAGCGGGGGAUCGCAAGACCUCGCGCGAUUGGAGCGGCCGAUAUCAGAUUAGGUAGUUGGUGAGGUAAAGGCUCACCAAGCCGACGAUCUGUAGCUGGUCUGAGAGGACGACCAGCCACACUGGGACUGAGACACGGCCCAGACUCCUACGGGAGGCAGCAGUGGGGGAAUUUUUGGACAAUGGGCGCAAGCCUGAUCCAGCAAUGCCGCGUGCAGGAUGAAGGCCUUCGGUUGUAAC
rnacentral:rRNA from 1 species